rnacentral:rRNA from 1 species
UACGGGGGGGGCAAGCGUUGUUCGGAAUUACUGGGCGUAAAGGGCUCGUAGGUGGCCAACUAAGUCGGACGUGAAAACUUGGGGCUCAACCCCAAGCCUGCGGUCGAUACGGGCAGGCUCGAGUUCGGUAGGGGAGACUGGAAUUCCUGGUGUAGCGGUGAAAUGCGCAGAUAUCAGGAGGAACACCGGUGGCGAAGGCGGGUCUCUGGGCCGAUACUGACGCUGAGGAGCGAAAGCGUGGGGAGCGAACAGG